AUGAAAACGCAGGGGCAGAGACCCGCGGAGCAAAUGGAACUGCGUAGCCUAUGCCAUAGCCUACUCACAGUCAAAUAAGAAAAAGUGUGCUUUUUGGAAAUCAGUUUUACACAACCGGCGAAGUAAAUCUAAAUGAAAGCCAGGAAUGAACUUGCACUUGACAUCCCGCAAGACUUUGAACAGCUAUAGGAGAAAUCCGAAAAGUGCUUUUGUCACACCUUUUUUCUUCUUUCGGUGUCUGUGCGUAUUAGAAUAAUCAGUUAUUUAUAGUAGGCCCUAGGCUGCUAUGCACACAUUGAUUCUAGUAGCCUACGAUGCUUUAUCAAACUUCGCCGUCAACCGCAGGUGAUUUCCCUGCAUGUUGUUAUUACGCUGACUAGGAGGGACUAGGGAGGUAGUUUUCAGCAAGUGAUCUGGGACGGCGCAGAGGAUUCUGCUGCGGGCUGUGACUGCUUGCUCCGAAGAAUGCGCUUGUUGCUACGAGAAGAUUGUUGGUCAGUUUUCUUAUGGCAGUUCGGGUCCGCAUUCCAAUGUACGUUGCGCACAUAUUAAUAGGCCUCUAAACCAUGUCGACAUGGCAAGUUUAUCAACGACGGAACACGAGAUUGUUUGUUUCAUUAAGGCUUCAGCUGAAAUCCAGAGCUUCAGCUGCUCGUUUACCCUAGGAACAUCACGCCCCCUAACUGCGUAGCUGGCAUAAAGAUGUCACAGGAACUAAUGGAGUGCACAAUCGGUCAGCAAGAGACCAAAAGGGAGCCGAAAAAAUGACACAAUCAGCGAGUAUAUUAUGUUUACUGUCGAAAAUAAGCCUGUAUUUUGAGAAACAGAGGAAAGGGCCGAGGUAGGGGAUAACUCUGCUCCCGGAAUGAUGACAGACGAGCUUCUGGCAUUUUCAUCGGGGACGCACUUUCAUAAGUUGCGCUGUUAUUUCAGUACCGUCGUCAUCGUUACACAAGAUAAAGCGGACAUGGGUGACGUUCCUAUGAUCUGAACAUGGAGGUUCAGUUGCAGAGAGGAAGAUCGUGGAACCAAACGUCCUACAGUCUACUGCCAAUGGUCAUAUGUUAGCCCUGGCCUGUGGUCUCUCCUUGACCUGCCACAGAGUUCCACUUCCCUUCCUCCCAUCACCGUGGGAGACCCGGCUUGAUUGACAGCUUUAAAGAGUGCAGCCACCUAUGGCUGGGGUGGUAGUGACGGCCAUGACAGCAGCACUUGCUACACACCUGGAUGAGCAACGAAGAAGAUGAGAUGGAUUUGGAUUUGCAUGAUGGUUGCUAGGUACUCGUCACAAAUCCCCCUUUUUUAGCUGUGAGACACAGAUUCUAGAGACGAGGAUCACUUUUCCCGUGGUGCCAUCAUUGUGUUUAAAUGCACGUGUGUGUGUGUGUGUGUGUGUGUGUGUGUGUGUGUGUGUGUGUGUGUGUGUGUUUAUAUUUCUGCUUCUCACUGGUGUAAGUAUGUGGGUACAUUUGUGUAUUAGUGGUACAGCAUGUGGGUAUGUUUAUGUGGUUGUGUGUGUUGUUGUGGUGUAGUUUCUGCAUGUGUAACUUGUCAGGACUUUUACGGGCUUUUCCCAAAUCACGGAAGUAACGUAGACGCAGCGGUGUAGUAGCAGAUAGUAGCAUCCA